GGGUAACCUGCCCAUCAGAAGGGGAUAAACACUUGGAAACAGGUGCUAAUACCGUAUAACAAUCGAAACCGCAUGGUUUUGAUUUGAAAGGCGCUUUCGGGUGUCGCUGAUGGAUGGACCCGCGGUGCAUUAACUAGUUGGUGAGGUAACGGCUCACCAAGGCGACGAUGCAUAGCCGACCUGAGAGGGUGAUCGGCCACAUUGGGACUGAGACACGGCCCAAACUCCUACGGGAGGCAGCAGUAGGGAAUCUUCGGCAAUGGACGAAAGUCUGACCGAGCAACGCCGCGUGAGUGAAGAAGGUUUUCGGAUCGUAAAACUCUGUUGUUAGAGAAGAACAAGGAUGAGAGUAACUGUUCAUCCCUUGACGGUAUCUAACCAGAAAGCCACGGCUAACUACGUGCCAGCAGCCGCGGUAAUACGUAGGUGGCAAGCGUUGUCCGGAUUUAUUGGGCGUAAAGCGAGCGCAGGCGGUUUCUUAAGUCUGAUGUGAAAGCCCCCGGCUCAACCGGGGAGGGUCAUUGGAAACUGGGAGACUUGAGUGCAGAAGAGGAGAGUGGAAUUUCCAUG
rnacentral:rRNA from 1 species